CAUGCUUAACACAUGCAAGUCGCACGGCGGGGGNAACUCCGUCAGUGGCGACGGGUGAGUAACGCGUAGGAAUCUAUCCUUGGAAUGGGGGACAACCGUGGGAAACUACGGCUAAUACCGCAUGAUGCCUGAGGGCCAAAGACGAAAGUCGUUUGAGGAGGAGCCUGCGUCUGAUUAGGUAGUUGGUGGGGUAAAGGCCUACCCAAGCCUACGAUCAGUAGCUGGUCUGAGAGGAUGAUCAGCCACAUUGGGACUGAGACACGGCCCAAACUCCUACGGGAGGCAGCAGUGGGGAAUAUUGGACAAUGGGCGCAAGCCUGAUCCAGCAAUGCCGCGUGGGUGAAGAAGGUCUUCGGAUUGUAAAGCCCUUUUGGCGGGGACGAUGAUGACGGUACCCGCAGAAUAAGCUCCGGCUAACUUCGUG
rnacentral:rRNA from 1 species